UCAAAAUUAGUAGCAUCUAGACAAUAAUUCAAUAGACUAUAAACACCAUUGAUAAUAAUUCUCAUACUAUUCUAUUUUCUAAAUAGUUAUCCACCUCUAUGAUUGUGUAAAAUAACAUAAAGUAACCCAUGCUUCUGUACUUAAAUUAUCCAUCUAUAUCAUUAAGAAACAUGAUCUAUAGUAAAUCUAAUUUUGCAUCUAACUACCCACCUUCUACUAAAAUAGAUAAUCUAUGUGAUCCCUCAAAUUCUACCCUAUUAAUUCAUCAAGUUUUUCUUUCCUAGAUCCACUCUAGAAAACAUCCCCCGCUGAGAAGCCCUUUCUUCAUCCACCCCAAAAAAUAUACACAUAAAAAUAACAUCUUCAAAAUGAAGCAUUCAGAUUUAAUUUGAACCUUCUCUCUCCUUACUCACUCAAAUCCGACGAUCACGAUUUUGUGUAUCGUCCUCCUCGUCACUCCCGUCUCUCACGCCGCGCCCAGAUCCCUAAGCCCACGUCUUGCGGCC
rnacentral:lncRNA from 1 species